AGGGCUACACACGUGCUACAAUGGCGCAUACAAAGAGAAGCGACCUCGCGAGAGCAAGCGGACCUCACAAAGUGCGUCGUAGUCCGGAUCGGAGUCUGCAACUCGACUCCGUGAAGUCGGAAUCGCUAGUAAUCGUGGAUCAGAAUGCCACGGUGAAUACGUUCCCGGGCCUUGUACACACCGCCCGUCACACCAUGGGAGUGGG
rnacentral:rRNA from 1 species